CCUACGGGAGGCUGCAGUGGGGAAUAUUGCGCAAUGGGCGAAAGCCUGACGCAGCGACGCCGCGUGAGGGAUGAAGGUCUUCGGAUCGUAAACCUCUGUCAGCAGGGAAGAACGGUCACUGUGCUAAUCAGCAGUGAAUUGACGGUACCUGCAAAGGAAGCACCGGGUAACUCCGUGCCAGCAGCCGCGGUAAUACGGAGGGUGCGAGCGUUAAUCGGAAUUACUGGGCGUAAAGCGCUCGUAGGCGGUAUGUCAAGUCAAGGGUGAAAUCCCCGCGCUCAACGUGGGAACUGCCUUUGAUACUGGCAGACUGGAGUGUGUGAGAGGAUAGUGGAAUUCCAGGUGUAGGAGUGAAAUCCGUAGAUAUCUGGAGGAACAUCAGUGGCGAAGGCGACUAUCUGGCACAUAACUGACGCUGAGGAGCGAAAGCGUGGGUAGCAAACAGGAUUAGAUACCCUGGUAGUC
rnacentral:rRNA from 1 species